rnacentral:lncRNA from 1 species
GGGGCGGGAAGUGGUUGCGUUGUUGCUAUUCGAUAUAAAAGAGACGUGUUGGGGUAGGGGCUACCUCAGUAGGAAGCAAUAGAAGAAGGGGCAACGGGGCGAAACUGGAACAGAAGGUAUUCCAAACACAGGGAUAAAACUGUCACAGUGAUGGAGCACUGGAACUGGCUGCAGAGAGAGCUGAGGGGAGUCUCCUUACAUGCAGGAUCUGUCUGGGCACCUUCCUGUACAACGUGCUGAAGGGAAGGGAACCUGCUUUGAGGCGGUUGAACUCGAUGAUCUCCACAGGUCCCUUCCAACCCCUGCAGUUCUGCAGGCAGUUCUCAGCUGGUUGUGUCAGCUCUUGCUUCCUUCCCCACCGAGGAAGGACUUGCUGGAGUUCUGCAAGUGCUAACAGUUAGAAGCAGUGGGUUUGAGCUGCUUUUAGAAUGACGAAUAGAAGCAGAGGGAUUCUUUGAGAGUCAAGGCUGGGAAGGUGAAUUUCUGUUCUGUGGCCAUUCUAAAAGCUUUCUUUUGAAGCACAGCUGGUGCUGUUGCUCUGCCUUGAGAUGCUAAUAAAUGGUAUUGGAAGAUUUGGCUGCAUGCUGUUUCCAUAUACUUUUGAUGAUGGAAAUAACCUAUAUAGCUUGCAGCAAUGCUGAAUGUAAGAUAGUAGGCCUUGGCUUAGACUUUGAAGCAUCGAUGUAUUUAGAGUGCAGGUUUCUCAUCAGACUAUACUGAAUACUUUCCAGUUUACCAGACAAAAAAAAUCUCCGAUUUGUUCAUCUUAAUUCCGUCUUUCAGUCACUGAAGAACAUGCAAGUCUUUGUAAUGGCCAGGGAGCAUAAAAGAGCAUUUCUGAAGGAAGACAGCAGCAAUGCAAACUUUGUGUUACUGAGAUAACUAACCAAAGGUGGUGUUGCUGAGGAUGUUGUGUAAUCAUUGACUAUCCUAAACUGGAAGGGACCCAUACAGAUCAUGGAAUCAUAGAAUGGCCUGGGUUGAAAAGGACCACAAUGCUCAUCCAGUUCCAACCCCCUGCUAUGUGCAGGGUCGCCAACCAGUAGACCAGGCUGCCCAGAGCCACAUCCAGCCUGGCCUUGAAUGCCUGCAGGGGAUGGGACAUCCACAACCUCCUUGGGCAACCUGUGCCAGUGUAUCACCCCCCUCUGAGUGAAAAACUUCCUCCUAAUGUCUAACCAAAGGAUUAAGGAUCAUUGAGUCCAACUUCUGCCUCUGCACAGGACCACCCCAAAAUCAGACCAUAUAUACCAUAUAAGCCAUUGAGCAUUAUUUCACUUAAUGGGAAGAAGGCUGGCCAGAGUAAAGAGGAAUAAGGCAGUACCUGGAGGCUUGAGUUUUGCUGUCAUGAGGCAGGCUGGCAUUCCCACAUGCACGGUCUUCAUCUGAGAGGUCAGGUGGAUGGGAUGCUGAGCUCUUACUCUGAGAAGCUGACAGAGCAGAACUUGAACUGAUGCUCCUGGAGGUCACACGGUGCUCAAGGAAAUAAUUAGUAAUGAUUUCAAGGAGUGUUUUCAGAGGGUUCUCCUUGGCCUUGUUCUGUUUAUACAGGGAGUGCAAAUGCAGGACAUUUCGAAGCUCAUUCCUGUUAUUGAUGCUAAGUGCAGAACGUGGGAGCUCCCGGUCCAUGGUGCUGAUGGUUUUCUUCAGACCCUUUCUACUGAGAAAUUCCCUCACCAGAGAUGCAGCCACUUCUUCCACGAAGGAAUUGUCCAUUUUUAGCCCGAAGUCUGCUCGGGGGGGAUCUCCUUGGCUCGGUCUGACCGAUCCCCCAUGGCAGCCCGGCCAGGCGAUGCGGCCCUGGAGCAGCGCGUCCUGCGCGCCGCCGGAUCCUGAGCAGCAGCAGAACUCCUCCCCGUGGGACGCGAGCCGAGCUCUGUCUGUCUCCGAGUGCUGCAGGCGCCGUGGCAAUGCUGUGUUCCUCUUUGGGAUGCUGCGAGCACAGAUGUGUGACUUGAGAGCUGCAGAACUUGGAUCUGAUACAGCUGGAUUCUCUCUGAUGAGAAAUCACUGGCAAUAAAUCUCUGUGUUGCAUGUUAGCAGAAGACAGGGUGUUUCUUCAGCACCUCCAGUACUGACAGGUGAGAAAAUAGGUGGCACGGGGACCAAGAACUUGGAAAGGCCUCAGCAGGACAGGGGGAGAAAAUACGCUGAAAAUGAUAAUGACAGGGAGCUCAUUUGCCAAGUGCCAUCACUGAUAAAUCAGGCUUGGCUAGGGGAACAUUAAGGUAAAGGGGAGUUGUAAGAAAGCAGGGGACUGACUCUGUAGCAGAGUCUGUUUUGGUAAGACAAGGAGAAAUGGUUUCAAACUAAAAGGGGAAAUUUGGAUUGAAUGUAAGGAACAAGUUUAUACACUAAGGGCAAUGAGGCACUGGACAGGUUGCAGAGAGGUGGUGGUGCCCCAUCCCUGCAGACACCCCUAGUCAGGGGAUGGGCUCUGAGCACUGAUAGAGCUGUGAGUGUCCCUGUGCAUUGCAAGGAGUGGGACCAGGUGGCCUUUAAAGGUCCCUUACAACAAUUCUAUGAUUAAUUUCAUUUAUUGUCAAUUAAAAAAUAGGGCAGGAUGGUGAGAAGCAAAAACCAGAACAUCUUCUCCCUGUCCUUCCUUAUUCCUGGGUUCAACUUUAGUCUUCUGUUUAUGGCUCUUCUUCCUCCUCCCCACCAAGCAGCACAGUGGGAAUGGCAAAUGAGUGGUCACGUCAGCUCAUAGCAGCCUCCCUCUGCUGCUCCUUCUUCUUCAUAGGUUGAGGUUCAAGGGGAUCUCUGCAGAUCAGUUUGGCCAACCCGCCUGCUUGAGCAGUGCUGCCGCAGGCAGGUUGCCCAGGACCAUGUCCAAACAGCUUUACAAUAUGCUCUAGCAUGGGCUCUGUGCAGGCUGCAGAUUUCUUCAGUGCUUAUCUAACUGCUGAGAUGUGGAAUCCAGUGCGGGAUGCAGUAUGGAUAUGUGGAUAUGUGGUCCUCCAAGGGCAUCAGAGAAUUCCUGAAUUCCCUCCCAGUGCUGCUACCAAAACCAGCAUUAAGCAGAUGAGAGGAAGAGGCAGCAGAGGAAGGAGAUCUGGGUGUCAGAAUGGUGAGACAUUGGAUGCUAGGAGGUAGAGGGGCUUGUGAAAACCCAGUGCAGUGCUUGAGGCAGGAAUUGAUAGGCAGGAGCAUUUUGCAGCACAGAAUUUAGAAGAGUGUUGUGCUGGUUCAGAAAGCUGCAAGACAGGAAUGAGUAGUGCAAUGUUUGUAAACAUAUUCAAAAGUAGUUUUAAAAUAGGCAUUAGUGAAACAAGCAUUGCAGUGAGAGCUGUAGAGCGUAUUGCAGAUGUGUGAACUUGUUGGAGAGGACUAGGCUUGCAGAAGGUACAUAUUUCCAGAGCAAACGAGCAGUCAUCAGGAACUUGAAAAAGGCAGGAGGGAGAAAGAGUUUGAGUAUUUCUUCAAGUAGGAAUAGCUAAAGCACAGGUCUGAAGAGUUUUUACUUUUAAAUGAUGAAACAUCCAACUGCCUUUUAAAAAUGUUGCUGUUGUUACACAUGUACGUAGCAACAUAGCACUAUUAACCUGCGAUCAGCUUUUGAUACCUCUGUUUACUGAUGGGAGAGAUAACAGCUCUCAGUUCAUUUCCUCCAACUAAAAUGGAAAUGCCAGGAAUGCCCUCUCGUGUUUGUCGUUCAGUAUUGCAGCAGUGGGAGAAGCACUCUUGAGCACAGCUGCUGGCUUUGGCACAGAGAUCAGACUUCAGUACCACGUAAUCAUAAAAUCGUUUGAGUUGGAAGGGACCUUUAAAGACCAUCUAGUCCAACUACCCUGCAAUGAAUGCUGUACUGACCAGCCUUAAAAGAACCACAGUUGUGCACAAGUCUUUACAGCAGAUAUGCAGUUUAAUAUUCAAGUACAAGACAAAAGAUUUCUCAAAGUCUAGGGAGAAGUGCUCCAGUAAUCACCAGUCCAAGCUUCAGCCAUGUGCAGGGGGUGUGGCAGGAAGGUGGAGCUGGUCAAGACAGAAGAUGUAGAGGCACUGUUGCUACACCCCGUGGAUGCAUCUUGAAUCCAAAAUAUCUGCAGCAAGUUUCCCAUCAGUGGGCUUGUCAGCAGAGUCAAGGUACCCCUGCUUGUCAGCAUUCAGACCCCAAUGCAAUGGCUGAACUCUUUAUCAGUGAAACUGUUGGUUCCUGGAACCAACAGUGCCUGGGUUCUUCAUGGCACUGAAGCCACAGGGGCAGCCAAUUCAAUAACACUUUAAAAACUGCCCUUCUCUCUCUGCAGCUGUUUAUCUACUGCCACUUGUCUUCUUCAGUCCCAUGAAUCCACACUGUGUUGCUUUGCUCACACUUACCUGGGAAAUGCACUAUUUCUAGAGGGAUAGUCCAGACACUGGGGUGUCCUGUUCCCAAAUGCUACAUUAGAGUAUUGCUUAAAAAUGUUAACUAGGCUGUUUCUUAUUGCAUUUCUCCAAACCUUACUGACAAGUCUGGAGUACAGCAGCCACAACAUUCUGGAUGUUUUUUAGUGAACAAAAUACAGAACAUUUCCUUAUUUGCUAAAGGAAAAAAACAAGUGGAACAUAUAAAGGAUUUUCUAAUCGUAAAAUGCACAAACAUUUUGUGAACAGGAAAUGGAUAGCAAAGCUCAUACUUCAUUUUUUGAAAUGAGAUUUUAUAAGAGUUUUGUACAGUGAUCAGUUUGUACCAGACUGGACUUGGCUGAGGGAUAUUUGGGGCUUCCUUCAUGCUGAUGACUCUCCUGUGAUGGAUAUGUCUAUCUAUGUACUUUUUAUCAUCAACUAGGCUUAGUGAUACAGUAGAAGUCAAGUAUCUGCUCCACUUUCUACUGAGCAAAUAGAUCCUAUCACUGAAACUUACCCUCCUUGAUUUUGCUAUGGGACCAAGUUUUGUCCUAAUGGUGCUGGUAGCUUGUGUGCAGCUAUAAAGUGUUUGUGAUUGUUCCUUUUGUCCAACAUCUUUGGAAGGAAGAGUGUGUACUGGAGGUACUGUUGUACUAGGAUGGAUGGUAAAAGGCUUUCCAGAUGGCAUAGUAGCACCUUAUCUGACUUGAGUAGAAUUUGUGGUGAACCACAUUCCUUUUUGCUUAAAAAAAAAAAAAAAAAAGAGGAAGAAAGAAAUGUACUGUUUAUAGCUGUAAUUUUACCCUGGAACUUAAAUAUUUCUCUGCUUUUCCUGGCAUAAUGGGUUCAUCUUUGCAUUUUUGCAUUCUAUAGAUAUAAUUUUCUCUCUUCUGUGAUUCAUGUUUUCUUAUUCAUGUAACUGCCAUUCCUCGUGCUCUAUAUUCUUCCAAGAUAAAUGAUUUCAUGCAGUGGUUCUUGAAACACUACAUUUUAAGCAUUAAAUUAACCAUGGGCCCAUCCAUGGCCUUGGGCAGCUCUAGUGCCACUCGCAGCUCUGGAUGCAGUGCUGUAGAUGGGGUCUCAUGAGGGCAGAGCUGAGGGGGACAAUCUCUUCCCUGCCCCACUGCUGCCACUCUCUUGAUGCAGCCCAGGACACUGUUGGCCUUCCAGGCUGUGAGUGCACACUGCUGCCUCUUGUCCAGCUUUGUACCACCAGAUCCCCCAAGUCCCAGUGCUGCUCUCAGUGAGUUCUUCUCCCAUCUGCACUCAUAUCUGGGAUUGCCCUGACCCAAGUGUAGCGCCUUGCACUUGGCCUUGUUAAACUUCAUUAGAUUCUCAUGUGCCCACUUCCUGAGUGUGCCCUGGUCCCUCUGGAUGGCAUCCCUUCCUUCUGUCAUGCCAACUGCAUCACUCAGCUUGGUGUCAGCAGCAAACUUGCUGAGGGUGCACUCAAUCCCACUGUCUAUGUCACUGAUAAAGAUGUCAAAGAUCACCAGUCCCAAAAUGGACCCCUGGGGGACACCACUUAUCACUGCAUCCACCCAUACAUAGAGCCAUUGACAACAACCCUCUGGCUGUGACCAUCCCACCAGCCUUCAAACCCAUAUCUCUCCAAUUUAGAGAUAAGGAUGUGAUGGGGGACCUUGCCAAAGGCCUUGCACAAGUCCAGGUAGAGGACAUGAGUUGCCUUCCCUUUAUACAUCAAUGCUAUCACUCCAUAGGCCACCAGGUGGGUCAGGCACAACCUUCCCUUGGUGAAGCUGUGCUGGCUGUUCCGGAUCACUUCCUCAUCCCCUGCAUGCUUUAAUGUCUCUUCCAGGAGUAUCUAAGAUGAUGCACUUAGUUUGAGCUUGGCUGAAUUGUUCAGGUAUUCUUUAGAAAUAAUUACAUUUCAAUGCUGGAACUGAACAUUUUGUUUAAAAAUAUAAAGUAGUUUCAGUUGACUUCUACUCUAGAACUGCUGUGAACAGGAAUGUGGGAAAUUACUGACACACUGGAAAAGUGUUAAAGUACUCAAUAGGAAACAAUAUUGCACAAGGAACCUGGUAGGGUUUUUGAAGUGACCUUGAAUUCGCUUUACCCAAAGGUCACUUCACCUGAAUUCCACUGAGCCAACUGCUGGCUGAUGACACUCAUGCAUAAAUCCAGCCGCCCACUGAGGUUUCAUUUCCCUUUACAAACCUGUGCUUUUUUUUUUCCCCAUACAGACUGUGUUUUUGCAUGUUCACAGUGUGUUUAUUGUUUAUUACAGGCUCUGUCACUUUGCCAAGGAGGCCAUUUGCAAGCCCAUAAUUGGUAGAUACUUUAUAGAGCCUCUCUUGUAGGUGGGUAUUACAUUAGCAGCACUGCAGGCCUCUGGCAGGGUCACCCUUUGUGAGGCGGAUAGCACAUGUAUGCCAGCAGCUCUCCUGUUUCACAUUUGAGAGUUCUCUGUUCUCUGUAUGCAGACACCCCUUCCAUUUCUUUAAAUUCCAGCCUUUUCUUUCUGACCACUACCUUAACUCAUUAUUAAUCCAAAUGGGAAUUAAUUGGUGUGGGGUUUUUUCUUUGUUUCCUAUUUAUCCUUUUGGUCUCUGCUUCUAAUCCUGUGAAGCUUCAAGACUCCCAUAGGCUUCCUGCUCUCAGGGCUGCUCUUUUCAGCAUUUUCAUGACUAGUAGUGUUGUCUUUACAUUGUUAUGUUUCUUCACCAUUUUUACCUGGUGCUUUCUUCAAGCACAUGCUUUUUUUCUCUGUUUAGCUAUCACUGCUAAAGAGCAGCUCUUACACUGAUACCACAGACCUGCUUCCCAUGCACCACUUGAGUCUCACAUGUGGUUUCCUAUACAGCUUCUUCAAGAACCUACUUGCGCUAGGGCACCUCAGCUCUACCCGUAGCCAUUCCCCAUCCCUGCAGCAUCACUGCUGCUGAAGAAUGAAAUGAAUAAUCUCUGUGUGCACUACUAAGGAGAGGUGACCAUAAUGUAAUGGGCUGAUGUAACCUCUGGUCCUCUCUUUAUUCUUCACCUAUUUAAAUACACACUUAUCGUUCUGCCCAAC